UGUGACUAAGUUAUUAUGGAAGUUUUCUACU
rnacentral:piRNA from 1 species